rnacentral:rRNA from 1 species
UNUGAUGUGAAAGCCCCCGGCUCAACCGGGGAGGGUCAUUGGAAACUGGGGAACUUGAGUGCAGAAGAGGAGAGUGGAAUUCCAUGUGUAGCGGUGAAAUGCGUAGAUAUAUGGAGGAACACCAGUGGCGAAGGCGACUCUCUGGUCUGUAACUGACGCUGAGGCUCGAAAGCGUGGGUAGCAAACAGGAUUAGAUACCCUGGUAGUNCACGCCGUAAACGAUGAGUGCUAAGUGUUGGAGGGUUUCCGCCCUUCAGUGCUGCAGUUAACGCAUUAAGCACUCCGCCUGGGGAGUACGACCGCAAGGUUGAAACUCAAAGGAAUUGACGGGGACCCGCACAAGCGGUGGAGCAUGUGGUUUAAUUNGAAGCAACGCGAAGAACCUUACCAAGUCUUGACAUCCUUUGACCGCUCUAGAGAUAGAGCUUUCCCUUCGGGGACAAAGUGACAGGUGGUGCAUGGUUGUCGUCAGCUCGUGUCGUGAGAUGUUGGGUUAAGUCCCGCAACGAGCGCAACCCUUAUUACUAGUUGCCAGCAUUUAGUUGGGCACUCUAGUGAGACUGCCGGUGACAAACCGGAGGAAGGUGGGGAUGACGUCAAAUCAUCAUGCCCCUUAUGACUUGGGCUACACACGUGCUACAAUGGAUGGUACAACGAGCAGCGAACUCGCGAGGGUAAGCGAAUCUCUUAAAGCCAUUCUCAGUUCGGAUUGUAGGCUGCAACUCGCCUACAUGAAGCCGGAAUCGCUAGUAAUCGCGGAUCAGCACGCCGCGGUGAAUACGUUCCCGGGUCUUGUACACACCGCCCGUCACACCACGAGAGUUUGUAACACCCAAAGUCGG